CCUUGAGUUUGAUGCCUGGCUCAGAACGUACGCUGGCGGCACGCCUAACACAUGCAAGUCGAACGAAGUAGCAAUACUUAGUGGCAGACGGGUGAGUAACAUGUGGGUAUCUGCCCUUUGGCCUGGAAUAACACGAGGAAACUUGUGCUAAUACCGGAUAAGUCUUUACGGAGAAAGCUUUAUGCACCAUUGGAUGAGCCUGCACUUGAUUAGUUUGUUGGUGGGGUAAUGGCCUACCAAGACUGUGAUCAAUAGCUGAUUUGAGAGGAUGAUCAGCCACAUUGGGACUGAGACACGGCCCAAACUCCUACGGGAGGCAGCAGUGGGGAAUCUUGCACAAUGGAGGAAACUCUGAUGCAGCGAUGCCGCGUGAGUGAAGAAGGCCCUUGGGUUGUAAAGCUCUUUCGUCGGGGAAGAAAAUGACUGUACCCGAAUAAGAAGGUCCGGCUAACUUCGUGCCAGCAGCCGCGGUAAUACGAAGGGACCUAGCGUAGUUCGGAAUUACUGGGCUUAAAGAGUUCGUAGGUGGUUGAAAAAGUUGGUGGUGAAAUCCCAGAGCUUAACUCUGGAACUGCCAUCAAAACUUUUCAGCUAGAGUUUGAUAGAGGAAAGCAGAAUUUCUAGUGUAGAGGUGAAAUUCGUAGAUAUUAGAAAGAAUACCAAUUGCGAAGGCAGCUUUCUGGAUCAUUACUGACACUGAGGAACGAAAGCAUGGGUAGCGAAGAGGAUUAGAUACCCUCGUAGUCCAUGCCGUAAACGAUGUGUGUUAGACGUUGGAAAUUUAUUUUCAGUGUCGCAGCGAAAGCGAUAAACACACCGCCUGGGGAGUACGACCGCAAGGUUAAAACUCAAAUGAAUUGACGGGGACCCGCACAAGUAGUGGAGCAUGUGGUUUAAUUCGAAGAUACGCGCAGAACCUUACCAACACUUGACAUGUUCGUCGCGACUCUAAGAGAUUAGAGUUUUCGGUUCGGCCGGACGAAACACAGGUGCUGCAUGGCUGUCGUCAGCUCGUGUCGUGAGAUGUUGGGUUAAGUCCCGCAACGAGCGCAACCCUCACUUUUAGUUGCCAGCAUUAAGUUGGGCACUCUGAAAGAACUGCCAGUGAUAAGCUGGAGGAAGGUGGGGAUGACGUCAAGUCCUCAUGGCCCUUACGUGUUGGGCUACACACGUGCUACAAUGGUAUCUACAACAGGAAGCAAAACGGCAACGUUAAGCAAAUCCCGAAAAGAUACCUCAGUUCGGAUUGCACUCUGCAACUCGAGUGCAUGAAGCUGGAAUUACUAGUAAUCGUGGAUCAGCGUGCCACGGUGAAUGCGUUCCCGGGUCUUGCACUCACCGCCCGU
rnacentral:rRNA from 1 species